GACGAACGCUGGCGGCGUGCUUAACACAUGCAAGUCGAACGGAAAGGCCCCUUUGGGGGUACUCGAGUGGCGAACGGGUGAGUAACACGUGAGUAACCUGCCCUUGACUUCGGGAUAACUUCAGGAAACUGGGGCUAAUACCGGAUAGGAAUCCUUGCUGCAUGGUGGGGGUUGGAAAGCUUCGGCGGUUUUGGAUGGACUCGCGGCUUAUCAGCCUGUUGGUGGGGUAGUGGCUUACCAAGGCUUUGACGGGUAGCCGGCCUGCGAGGGCGACCGGCCACAUUGGGACUGAGAUACGGCCCAGACUCCUACGGGAGGCAGCAGUGGGGAAUAUUGCACAAUGGGCGGAAGCCUGAUGCAGCAACGCCGCGUGCGGGAUGACGGCCUUCGGGUUGUAAACCGCUUUCAGCAGGGGCGAAGCUUGUGGUGACGGUACCUGCAGAAGAAGCACCGGCUAACUACGUG
rnacentral:rRNA from 1 species